GACGAACGCUGGCGGCGUGCUUAACACAUGCAAGUCGAACGGAAAGGCCCCUUCGGGGGUACUCGAGUGGCGAACAGGUGAGUAACACGUGAGUAACCUGCCCUUGACUUCGGGAUAACUUCAGGAAACUGGGGCUAAUACCGGAUAGGAAUCCUUGCUGCAUGGUGGGGGUUGGAAAGCUUCGGCGGUUUUGGAUGGACUCGCGGCUUAUCAGCUUGUUGGUGGGGUAGUGGCUUACCAAGGCUUUGACGGGUAGCCGGCCUGAGAGGGCGACCGGCCACAUUGGGGCUGGGAUACGGCCCAGACUCCCACGGGGGGCAACAGUGGGGAAUAUUGCACAAUGGGCGGGAGCCUGAUGCAGCAACGCCGCGUGCGGGAUGACGGCCUUCGGGUUGUAAACCGCUUUCAGCAGGGGCGAAGCUUGUGGUGACGGUACCUGCAGAAGAAGCACCGGCUAACUACGUG
rnacentral:rRNA from 1 species